UACAGAGACUGCAAGCGUUAUUCGGAUUCACUGGGCGUAAAGGGUGCGCAGGCGGCCAAGUGUGUGAGGCGUGAAAGCCCGGGGCUUAACCCCGGAAUUGCACCUCAAACUACAUGGCUAGAGCAUUGGAGAGGGUAGCGGAAUUCACGGUGUAGCAGUGAAAUGCGUAGAUAUCAGGAGGAAUACCGGUGGCGAAGGCGGCCUUCUGGACGGUGACUGACGCUGAGACGCGAAAGCGUGGGGAGCAAACAGG
rnacentral:rRNA from 1 species